GACGAACGCUGGCGGCGUGCUUAACACAUGCAAGUCGAACGGAAAGGCCCUGCUUUUGUGGGGUGCUCGAGUGGCGAACGGGUGAGUAACACGUGAGUAACCUGCCCUUGACUUUGGGAUAACUUCAGGAAACUGGGGCUAAUACCGGAUAGGAGCUCCUGCUGCAUGGUGGGGGGUGGAAAGUUUCGGCGGUUGGGGAUGGACUCGCGGCUUAUCAGCUUGUUGGUGGGGUAGUGUCUUACCAAGGCUUUGACGGGUAGCCGGCCUGAGAGGGUGACCGGCCACAUUGGGACUGAGAUACGGCCCAGACUCCUACGGGAGGCAGCAGUGGGGAAUAUUGCACAAUGGGCGGAAGCCUGAUGCAGCAACGCCGCGUGCGGGAUGACGGCCUUCGGGUUGUAAACCGCUUUCGCCUGUGACGCAGCGUGAGUGACGGUAAUGGGUAAAGAAGCACCGGCUAACUACGUG
rnacentral:rRNA from 1 species